rnacentral:tmRNA from 1 species
GGGGCCGAUCGGUUUCGACUCCGUACGUAGAUGUAAGGGAAGCGGGUCGAGGAAGCCAACGUCGUCUCGUUAAUCGUCGUUGGAAAUCACAAGUGCGAAUUCUAAACGCGCUGACUUCGCCCUCGCUGCAUAAGCAGGGAAGGAAGUCUGUCGGUCCGGGCGCGCGUCCGUCCCGGUCACCGGCAUAAUCUUAGGACGCUAGGCGGUCAGUUCGGCCACGGAGCCGACUGCGACACCAACAGUGGCUGGAGCCCGUCACACCAACUUGUUCGCGUGAUUGGUGGGGCUCGAGUAAAGGCAUAGUGAACUGCACCCGGAGAAGCCUUACUGAACCGGCGGAGGACCAGGGUUCGAUUCCCUGCGGCUCCACA